rnacentral:rRNA from 1 species
AGAGUUUGAUCCUGGCUCAGGACGAACGCUGGCGGCGUGCUUAACACAUGCAAGUCGAACGAUGAAGCCCUUCGGGGUGGAUUAGUGGCGAACGGGUGAGUAACACGUGGGCAAUCUGCCCUGCACUCUGGGACAAGCCCUGGAAACGGGGUCUAAUACCGGAUAUGACCUGUCGAGGCAUCUUGGCGGGUGGAAAGCUCCGGCGGUGCAGGAUGAGCCCGCGGCCUAUCAGCUUGUUGGUGGGGUAACGGCCUACCAAGGCGACGACGGGUAGCCGGCCUGAGAGGGCGACCGGCCACACUGGGACUGAGACACGGCCCAGACUCCUACGGGAGGCAGCAGUGGGGAAUAUUGCACAAUGGGCGCAAGUCUGAUGCAGCGACGCCGCGUGAGGGAUGACGGCCUUCGGGUUGUAAACCUCUUUCAGCAGGGAAGAAGCGCAAGUGACGGUACCUGCAGAAGAAGCACCGGCUAACUACGUGCCAGCAGCCGCGGUAAUACGUAGGGUGCGAGCGUUGUCCGGAAUUAUUGGGCGUAAAGAGCUCGUAGGCGGCUUGUCGCGUCGGAUGUGAAAGCCCGGGGCUUAACUCCGGGUCUGCAUUCGAUACGGGCAGGCUAGAGUUCGGUAGGGGAGAUCGGAAUUCCUGGUGUAGCGGUGAAAUGCGCAGAUAUCAGGAGGAACACCGGUGGCGAAGGCGGAUCUCUGGGCCGAUACUGACGCUGAGGAGCGAAAGCGUGGGGAGCGAACAGGAUUAGAUACCCUGGUAGUCCACGCCGUAAACGUUGGGAACUAGGUGUGGGCGACAUUCCACGUUGUCCGUGCCGCAGCUAACGCAUUAAGUUCCCCGCCUGGGGAGUACGGCCGCAAGGCUAAAACUUAAAGGAAUUGACGG